rnacentral:rRNA from 1 species
AUUGAACGCUAGCGGCAUGCCUUACACAUGCAAGUCGAACGAGUGGCGGACGGGUGAGUAAUAUCUCGGAACGUGCCCAGUAGAGGGGGAUAACUACUCGAAACAGUAGCUAAUACCGCAUACUAUCGGAGCGGCCCAUAUCGGAUUAGCUAGUUGGUGGGGUAAAGGCUCACCAAGGCAACGAUCCGUAGCUGGUCUGAGAGGAUGACCAGCCACACUGGGACUGAGACACGGCCCAGACUCCUACGGGAGGCAGCAGUGGGGAAUAUUGCACAAUGGGGGAAAGCCUGAUGCAGCCAUGCCGCGUGUAUGAGAAGGCCUUCGGGUUGUAAAGUACUUUCGGCAGAGAAGCGUUAUCUGCAGAAUAAGCACCGGCUAACUACGUGCCAGCAGCCGCGGUAAUAC